rnacentral:rRNA from 1 species
GACGAACGCUGGCGGCGUGCUUAACACAUGCAAGUCGAACGGUGAAGCGCCUUCCUUUUUGGUGGGUGUGGAUGAGCGGCGAACGGGUGAGUAACACGUGAGUAACCUGCCCCCUUCUUCUGGAUAACCGCAUGAAAGUGUGGCUAAUACGGGAUAUCCUGGGUCUGUCGCAUGAUGGGUCUGGGAAAGAUAUUGUUUCGGCGGGGGAUGGGCUCGCGUCGUAUCAGCUGGUUGGUGGGGUGAGGGCCUACCAAGGCGGGGGCGGGUAGCCGGCCUGGGGGGGUGGGUUGCCGGAUUGGGACGGAGUCAGGCCCCGACCCCACCCGUGCGGCAGGCAGCAGUGGGGAUUAUUGCACGAUGGGCGCAAGCCUGAUGCAGCGCCGGCGCGUGAGGGAUGGAGGCCGUCGGGUUGUGAACCUCUUUCGCGAGUGAAGCAGGCCUGCCUCGUUUGUGGGUGGGUUGACGGUAGCUGGAUAAGAAGCGCCGGCUAACUACGUG